AAAAGCUUUUGUCUUUUUGUAUGGAUAUAUUUCUGAUUAUAGAGUCAAAAUUGUACAUAUGAUCAUGACACUGGAUUGCAGUUAUUGAGAUGAACCUACCAAAGAACAAUCCUGCAGCAAUGGCUACACUCAGCUAAUAGAGACAAUAGAAAAUAAAAAUGUUACAAUCACAGAAUAUGGCAC